rnacentral:rRNA from 1 species
UACGAAGGGGGCUAGCGUUGCUCGGAAUCACUGGGCGUAAAGGGUGCGUAGGCGGGUCUUUAAGUCAGGGGUGAAAUCCUGGAGCUCAACUCCAGAACUGCCUUUGAUACUGAAGAUCUUGAGUUCGGGAGAGGUGAGUGGAACUGCGAGUGUAGAGGUGAAAUUCGUAGAUAUUCGCAAGAACACCAGUGGCGAAGGCGGCUCACUGGCCCGAUACUGACGCUGAUGCGCGAAAGCGUGGGGAGCAAACAGG